AAACUGUUCAAUUAUAAUGGCCUUAGAAAAUGAAUUAAAAAGAUACAAUGUUCUUUUCUCCCUUCUUUGGAGUGUUGGAGGAAAAUAAGUAUGGAGCAUUUUAUAAACCUUCAGACUGGGUGGUGAGGGUAAAGUGACUUGCCCAGGGUCACACAGCUGGAAGUCAUUAACCAUCUAUAGAAGCAGCAGGAAAAGAAAGCUUUGAAAGAGGAAUGCAUUGUCCUUUUACAUAA